CUCGUCUCCGCACUCGCCUCCUCGCCCCGUGCUGCUCACCUCUCUGACGCAGCCUCACCAACCUCACCGACGAGACGCCUGCAUGGAGAAUUGCUUGGAAAGACCCCCGGGGUUGGCACUAUAAGAUAUUGCGCUGAGUGGCACGGUGGCCCUGAGCUGGUGUCUGAUGUCACAGCAAGUGUAGCUACAACUUCACACAACGUCUGGCUGGGGAUGGAGAACACCCUGCCCCACUAAACACACUCGCUCCCUUUUCUUGGGGAUCUCCAGUGAUGUAAUUGAGACACAAGCUUGUCGGGCCAGGCCCGGUGUAAACUCCAGGGGGCUCUGUGUGGGUGC